rnacentral:rRNA from 1 species
UACGAAGGGGGCUAGCGUUGUUCGGAGUUACUGGGCGUAAAGGGCGCGUAGGCGGCAAUUCAAGUCAUCUGUGAAAUCUCCGGGCUUAACUCGGAACGGUCAGAUGAUACUGCUUUGCUAGAGUACAGAAGGGGCAAUCGGAAUUCUUGGUGUAGCGGUGAAAUGCGUAGAUAUCAAGAGGAACACCUGAGGUGAAGACGGGUUGCUGGGCUGAUACUGACGCUGAGGCGCGAAAGCUAGGGUAGCAAACGGG